rnacentral:pre_miRNA from 1 species
GAACUACUCCCUCCGUCAGGAAAUACUUGUCGGAGGAAUGGAUGUAUCUAGACGUAUUUUAAUUCUAGAUACAUCAAUUUUAUGCAUUUCUCCGACAAGUAUUUUUGGACGGAGGGAGUACAAA